rnacentral:rRNA from 1 species
UCGAGAAUCUUCGGCAAUGGGCGCAAGCCUGACCGAGCGACGCCGCGUGCGGGAUGAAGGCCCUUGGGUUGUAAACCGCUGUCAGGGGGGAUGAAACCGCAAGGUUGACAGAGCCCCAGAGGAAGCACGGGCUAAGUUCGUGCCAGCAGCCGCGGUAAUACGAACUGUGCGAACGUUAUUCGGAAUCACUGGGCUUACAGGGUGCGUAGGCUGCUGUGCAAGUCAGGUGUGAAAGCCCCCGGCUCAACCG